GGUCUGUCUGCGGACCGCAAGAGAGGGGCGUGCCGUUAAGGGGCGUAACUUUUAGCAGGGGGCGUAACUUUAAGUUGUCCAAGUUACACAGAACCACGCGAGACGUCAGGACGAGAUGUUGUUAUUCUGUCUUCUCUUCUGCCCGCAUAGAGAUACGGCGGCUAAAGGCGUUAUUAAAGUUGCUCAUCCAAGCGCCCUCAUGUUUGUUCGUACUAAUUUUAAUGGACGGGAAGCCGACUGACAAACAUCCUUUUCCCGAGAAAUGGUUCGGCUACUACGACACAUGUUGAGAAGUCACGCCAGGGGCUGAAUUAAGGUCGACCGUUUCAGCUGCAUUGAUGUGAAGUGAUGCAGUGGACAACUUGUGAGGGUGAUACCAUCCACAUGCACCUUAACUGUGAUGCAGAAAUACAAUACACUCUUAAAAUGAAUGUGUUAAAUUAACACAUCUUGUGUCUAGUUAAGGACAACACAUCUAGUGUGUUGUCCUUAAUUUAACACAUCUCUGUGUUAUUUUUGGAACAACACACUGUGUUGUUUUAACACAUCUUGUGUUGUCCCUUUUAUUUUUUAUGAACUUAAAUGACACUUAUGGGCGGUUUCGCGGACAGGGAUUAGACUAGUCCUAGACUUAAACACUUUUAAGAGCUCUCCAAACUGAAAACAACUUGCACUUACAUAUCUUCAAAUACAUCAGGGCCCUUUGUUUUACCUCAAAAUGCACACAUGUAAUGUUUUUAGUAAGGCAUGUUUGUUAAAACUACUUAUAUUUCCUAAUUAAACUAAGAUCUAGUCCUGGAUUAAGCUAAUCCUGGUCCGGGAAACUGCCCCUUAAUGUGUUAAAAACAACACAUAAUGUGUUAAAUAGUUUAACACAAAGCAAUGUGUUAAAAUUAACACAUCCAGGGUGUGUUAAUUUUAACACAUUGCUUUUUGUUAAACUAUUUAACACAUUAUGUGUUAAUUUUAACUUAUUAUGUGUCAUUUCGUGCUGAUUUAGAGUUCAUAUAAAUAAAAGGGACAACACAAGAUGUGUUAAAACAACACAAAGUGUGUUGUUCUAAAAAUAACACAGAGAUGUGUUAAUUUAAGGACAACACACUAGGUGUGUUGUCCUUAACUAGACACAAGAUGUGUUAAUUUAACACAUUAGUUUUAAGAGUGUAGGAUGAUCCAUCUGUCUACACUUCAAAAUCACAACUCAACCUUAAACAUCCCAUAUCUGUUAUGGUAAAACAAUGUGGCGGUUUUCCAGACAGGGCUUAUACUGUUCCCGGGCUAAAAUGCAUGUUUGAGCUACUGUAAUUAAGAAAACACCUUGUACUGACACAUCUCAACAUAUAUCAUUGCCAUUGUUUUGUUUCAAGAUGCACACCAGUCUUGUUUUGUAAGGUUUGUUUGUAAAAACUAAAAUGUCCUAAUAUAAGUGCCCAGUCCUGGUUUAAUCUAAACCAUUGGUGACCACACCUGUGUCUUGAGAUCUACUGUCCUGCAGAGUUCAGCUCCAACCCCAAUCAAACACAUCUGAACCUGCCAAUCAAGCAUUUCAGGGCAACCUUAAAAUUAUAGUCAGGUGUGUUUAAAGCUGGGUUAGAACUAAAAUAUGCAGGAGGGUAGAUCUCCAGGAACAGGGUUGGUCACCCCUGAUCUAAACAAAGGGUUUCCAAACUGUGUCCUGCAAAGUUUAGCUCUAACCCUAAUCAAACACACCUGAAGCAGCCAAUUAAGGUCUUAUUAAGCAUACUAGAAACUUACUGGCAGGUGCUCUGAUGCAAGUAAGAGCUAAACUCUGCAGGACACCGGUCCUCCAGGACUGAGUUUGGGUACCCCUGACUAAGCCCUGCCUGGGAAACUGCACCAAUGUGUUGAGCUGGCACCAUUGGACAUUACUGCUGCUGAGAAACAACCACAUUCUCAGCUCUACACAGGGUUGACAUUGGAUGCAUUAUUAUUAUAAAAUGCAUUCAUGUGCACUUUACCAAUACUGUACAUACAUCAACAGCUUCCAGCUAUACACUUGGGAUCAGCUCCUGAUGCCUCUCAUAAUGCUGUGUUAUAAUUUAUUGCAGGGUGAUCUUGCUGAAAGGAUAUUUUUAUAAACCUUUACAAUGUCACCAGAUGUUACAUGUUGUGGAUAGUUAUUUUUAUAAACCUUUACAAUGUCACCAGAUGUUACCUGUUGUGAAUAAUUAUUUUAUAAACCUUUACAAUCUCACCAGUUGUUACAUGUUGUGGAUAGUUAUUUUUAUAAACCUUUACAAUGUCACCAGAUGUUACAUGUUGUGAAUGGUUAUUUUUAUAAACCUUUACAAUGUCACCAGAUGUUACCUGUUGUGAAAAGUUAUUUUUAUAAACCGUUACAAUGUCACCAGAUGUUACCUGUUGUGAAUAGUUAUUUUUAUACACCUUUACAAUGUUACCUGUUGUGAAUAGUUAUUUUUAUAAACCUUUACAAUAUC